GAGAGUAUAGCUCAGUGGUAGAGCAUAUGCUUAGCAUGCAUGAGGUCCUGGGUUCAAUCCCCAGUACCUCCA
rnacentral:tRNA from 1 species